GAAAUGCGAUAACUAGUGUGAAUUGCAGAAUUCCGUGAAUCAUCGAGUCUUUGAACGCACAUUGCGCCCCCUGGUAUUCCGGGGGGCAUGCCUGGCCGAGCGUCAUUGCUGCCCAUCAAGCACGGCUUGUGUGUUGGGUCGUCGUCCCCUCUCCGGGGGGGACGGGCCCCAAAGGCAGCGGCGGCACCGCGUCCGAUCCUCGAGCGUAUGGGGCUUUGUCACCCGCUCUGUAGGCCCGGCCGGCGCUUGCCGAACGCAAAUCAAUCUUUUUCCAGGUUGACCUCGGAUCAGGUAGGGAUACCCGCUGAACUUAAGC
rnacentral:misc_RNA from 1 species